CCAACAGAAGCAGCAGCAUCCGCCGGACAGAGACGCCAAAUCGGCCCAGCAACUCCGGUCACCAGAGAGCCACCUUCAUCAUCACCUUCAUCAUCCUCCUGUAGAGGCUCUCUGAUUGGUCGCCUCCAACAUGCUCCGCCUCCUGCUCCUCUUCCUCUCUGCUGCCAUGUUGCUGCCAGGUGAGUUCCUGCAGUUAGAAGCAGUUUCUGCUGAGUCAGUGAAGAUGGAGGAACGGAGCUCCUGCUGCCAUCUUGGUCUCCAAACAGACCAACUGAUGCUGGUUUAUUCAUCUACAGAUUGUCAUGUUGCUGCCAGACUCUGGUUCUCAUCUCAUGUGUCUCUGUGUUUCAGGAGCUGCUGGACAGUUGAAGUAUUUACUAUGAACACAAAGGUGGACAUCAGCUCAUGCCCCAUCACGUACUUUGGACAGAAAUACGAACAACUUUAUCUGAACUUCAACAGUGACAACUUUGUUCUCUGUUUCACCGGCUUUUAUGAGCCUCAGAGCAGAGGAGACUGCUUGGUGAUGCCUAAAACAG